rnacentral:lncRNA from 1 species
GCCCCCUUCUUCCCCCCAGCAAAUGCUGCACUACGACCCCAACAAGCGGAUCUCGGCCAAGGCGGCGCUGGGUCACCCCUUCUUCCGCGACGUCACCCGGGCCGUCCCCCACCUGCGCUUGUGAYGCAGCCCGGCCCCAGGGCUGCCAAGCAGCCGGCUCUGACCAGGGCAGCUCGUACUCGACCGCGGGGACGGUGCAGGCAGCCCGGGGGGGCUCCUGCCGCUGCCCCGCUCCCAGCCCCGGGCCGGCGGGGAGGGCUGCACCCGGGCCCCGGCAGGGAAACCGGCCCCCGCUCCCUCGGCGUGAGGGGAGAGGCCGUUGCCCGUCCCCAGAGCACUGAGCGUGCGCGGAGGAGAGCUGAGGCCUGGGACCACGUUUGCCUUCGUCCCCUGGGUGCAGGGGCCGAGGGGAGGCAGCAUCUUCGUCCCCAGCAUUUCCCAGCCUCCUCCUCCUCGGCCGCCGGCUGCUCCUUGUCUCAUCGCCGCUGUUGGGGCUCUYGAGGCUCCUCGGCAGCACCGGAGCGGCGGGAGCCCCGUGGCCGGGCCCGGCUUCCCUCUCCGAACGCUGCCGGCUCGGGGCCGAACGCCGCGGGAGGAGGCGGAGGCCUGGAGGGAGGGUCGGUACCAGCUAAAUAUCUGCUGCAAUAUUUGGGAACGUGAAGAUUUAUAUGUAUUUUUGGACUGGGACAAGGAGGGAGGUAUUUAUAAGGCCGGGGUAGCAGAGUUCUUUUGUAGAGCGUUUCUUAGAGAAGCACCUCGGAGUAUUUUGUAACAGAAUCUCUUUACAGCCGUCUCCAAACCCGCCUUCCCGGGAUAUUUUUGUCGCUGACUUUUGUAACUUCCCGGCUGUGAUUUCUUACCAGAUGUUAAAAGUAUUUGUGUAACUCCUUUAAAAAUCAUUAAAUAUUCCUAGUUCUUUGCCUGGAGCUCUCCGUGGCAGCGCGGCGGCGGGGAGG